rnacentral:rRNA from 1 species
UACAGAGGCCUCAAGCGUUGUUCGGAAUUACUGGGCGUAAAGCGUGCGUAGGCGGUUGCGCAAGACAGGUGUGAAAUCCCCGGGCUUAACCUGGGAAUUGCACUUGUGACUGUGCGGCUGGAGUGCGGCAGAGGGGGAUGGAAUUCCGCGUGUAGCAGUGAAAUGCGUAGAUAUGCGGAGGAACACCGAUGGCGAAGGCAGUCCCCUGGGCCUGCACUGACGCUCAUGCACGAAAGCGUGGGGAGCAAACAGG